AAACUUUCAACAACGGAUCUCUUGGUUCUGGCAUCGAUGAAGAACGCAGCGAAAUGCGAUAAGUAAUGUGAAUUGCAGAAUUCAGUGAAUCAUCGAAUCUUUGAACGCACAUUGCGCCCCCUGGUAUUCCGGGGGGCAUGCCUGUUCGAGCGUCAUUAUCAACCCUCAAGCUCGGCUU
rnacentral:rRNA from 1 species